UCUAUUUCGAUUAAUAUUUACAAAAUCUCUAUUCCUAAUGUAAAUGGAAUACCAGCUAAUGGAAAAUGGACAGAUGUUUAAGAAAUCGAUCUACCAAACCGAUUAACAAUGUAAGCGAGACCACACAAACUAUACCGGAAAGUGAUUCGAGCUCCGGACAAGGUAAUAGAGUACCAAACAAAACUUAAGACAAACAUCGAUAUACAGUGAAAAAGCGUAAACACAUAUGUACAUAUGUAUGUAUAUUCGUAUACACGGAAAAAUGCCGACUCCAAUAUUUACUUUUGGAUCUAAAUUAAAAAACUCAUGAAAAGAAAUCCCUAUUUCUCCCACACCAAACACAACCUAAUCGCACAAAUUUGUACGCAGAAGCCACAAAAGACUUGGUUUAACAAAUUAAUCCCAAAAGAUAUAAAAAUCGGUAAAUAGAAUACUGACUGGUUACACCUAGGGUAAUGAAUAUCUACAUCGUAUAUUUAAGUGUGAUAAGCGCCAAUAUUUGUAGCUGUGGCGCUACUGAUUACUAUGCCCAUCAGACGCUCCACUGCAGUUUACUUGCAAAUGUUCGGGAGGGCUUCGAAGUCGUCCACAACUGCACUGAUUUUACCGAGAUUUUUCGUGGUUUCUACUACCGCAAAAUCACUGAACUGGCAAAUUUUCUAACAAAAUCCGAAGCCGAAUUUUGAAAUAAUCAUAGUUACCACAGGUGUUAAUACCGUCCACCUCACUCAAAUCCUGCCGCACCGCAUCACAACCCAACUACCACACCUACACCUUUAGCUUCCAAAAUGUCAUCAUAUAUUUAUGUAUACCCAAUAUACAAACGUCAACAUUAUCGAGGCCAACACGCACAAAAUUAUCGCUGACGUUUGGAAACCGCUAUUCAACCGCAUAAGCCAACUCUCUCACUGUCACAUUCGUCUUCACUGUGGUAUCAUCCUUAGUCACACGAAAAUGCAUUAAAUUGCAGAAAUCCGCUGCCGUUUUGAAGGAUACAUCUCCGAUUAUAUCAUAGUAUGCACACACGGUGCUCAGGUGCACUUUCGUGUAACCUUUUGCUACAGACCUAUUAAAGCAGAGGGAUAACCUGGCGUUGGGGAAACCUGCCAAUCUACUCAAAUCUCAAAAAAAAAACAGAAAUCCCUUUUCUGAACUUGCAGAUAAUGUCUACGGUAAAUUUUAUCAAAAAUAAUGGUGAAUUUACAUCGAAUGAAGCCACAUGAACAGUUUUAUUGCAUUGUUUGUUUUUGAAAAUUAAAAGAACGUAAACAAACACAUUCAGAACAAGCAAACGCUUUGUAGAUGAAACUUUUUAAGCUGAGGCAGCCCUCAUAACGAAAAUUAAAAAAAAAAACAAGCAAGCAAAAUCUUCGGUAGACGGAGCCAAACGUCGGCAGACCAGGAAGCUGCACAGACUUCCCAAAAGUGAAGUGAAGGUGGCCAUCGAGAAGGCGAAAGCCUCCAAAUCCACUGAACCCGACGAAAUUCGCAUGCUGAUGCUGAUGCUGUGGGAGUAGCAUAUUUCACCGAGGUCCUCUAAUCUGUCAAUGGCCACUUACAUCAUUCCCGAUGUGUGAAAAUCGGGGAGAGUGGUCCCACUGCUGGAACCUGCCAACAAAUAAGACUCGUAUCGCCCGAUAACGCUCCUUUCCCCGGUCGCGAUGACACUUGAGGCCCUGCUAUUCACGUACUUUAUACAAUACCUGACCCCAGUGAAGCAUCAUCAUGUUUCCGUAAACUGCACGACACAACAACAGCACUUAACGCCAUAAAACCCUGCAAACUCAUGGCCUAAACCGUAACCGCCCCUUUGGAAGAACAAUCGUAGUAAAGCUGGACUUGUGAAAGGUGUUUGACACUGUUUGUCUUUUCACGCUACCAAAAGAUAUUAAGGCUUCCUCCCACAGGGACUCAAACGGCGGUCGGCGAAUUAUAUGAGUGGUCGACAGUCGUAAGUAAUCUUCAGAGAUCAAACUCCAGAAGAAUUAAAAAAGGGGUUCCACAGGGUGGAGUCCUCUUCCCCUUAUUGUUUAACUUCUACUUCUCGAAGCUCCCUCAGCCACCGAAGGGAAUUUCACUGAUCACACACGCUGACGACUGCUCUACAUUGGCGUCCGGAAAGGGAAUUGAUGACCUCUACUCAAAAGAAAACGGCAAUAUCCGAGAUUUCUCGCUUCUUCACUGCAACGAGCCUUACUCUCCACCGAAAUCAAUGGCGUCCCUCCUCACCACCUGAAUAAAGGAGACCAGGCUUCAAUUAGGCAUACACGUCGAUGGCACAUUAAUUCCGAGGGUGAAGAACCCGAAAACUUUAGGGGUUAUCUUUCAUAGCCUGCUCUCCUUCGCGCUCGCCGGCAGCACCUGGGGCAAAAACAAAGAAAUGUUACUGGCAACAUACAAGUCGACUGGCCGGUCGGUCUUACUUAUUCUGCGCCUUUUUGGUCGCUGGGGAGCAGGGCUGCCAACUUAGCUCAAAUGGCAUUUGAUUUUGGAAUUUGGCACAAAGUGCCUAAAUGGCACUUGAAAAAUAGUAAUAUUUCUAUACAUAUUAGUGGAAUCUUUUGCGUGCACUUCCUUUUCUCAACUCAAAUUUUUUAAUUUCUAUAGUGCAUGCAACUGGUUUGUCUUACUUUGGCAUUGGACUUCUGAUUUAGGAAUGUGUUUUUAAUUUUAAUGCUGAAUUGGAGGAAGAAUUAAAGAGAAUGGCACCUUUUUUGGCACUUUUAUUUUUUUAUUUGGCACAUUUUGGCUCUUUUUUAUCCUCAAUAUGGCACUUCUAGCUAAGUAUGGUUGGCAGCUCUGCUGGGGAGUAGUUGGACGCAGUGGACGAAGCUGCAUACUUGUCCGAACGCCGCACUCUGGACAUCGACUACACAGGCCCAAAUGUUCACCGUAAGGGAGCAUAACAAAAUGGUCAGUAAGCAAUUUCUGUUGGAAUGUCACAUAAGUGAAAACCCCAACAAACCCUUGCUAGAGGAGGACCAUCCGCCCGGGCACGUCGGGCGGCACCCAUUCGUUUAUAGGUCGCGGUCCAGACAUACAUCAACCAACCACUAGAUCCGACGACGCACCGACGACCGAUCAAUGGCAUACAUAGGGAGUCGGUCAUAACCUACCACGACUCCUGGCCUAUGAAUGCCGUGAUCGGGGCCCAAUCACUACCUGUGUCAGACAUUCAGCUUCAACUGCCAAGAGAUGCCCGCACCAGUUUCGGUCUGGAUACUGAAGCCGCAUCAACAGCUACCUGUCUAGACUCGACCCCAAUAUCCACAAUGAGUGACCGGCAUGUGGAGACUCCCGGCACGACACCAACCACCUCUUCACAUGUCAGAUAAAUACCACUCAACUAAGACCCCUCUCCUUUCGGCCCGACCCUGUUGAAACUGCCCUUUUCUUGAGCCUACCGUUAGUUGAGCUUGACGACAAUGAUUGAUUGAUAAACGGAAAUAGGGGGGGAUUAGUAGUGCAAAUACAAAAAAAAAA